rnacentral:rRNA from 1 species
AUUUCUGGAUAUUCCAUCCCCGGCAGCUAGCUCACUGCAUCUCUAACAUGGUUGCCCACUGAAGCUAAGCGAGGUUGUGCCCGGUCAGUACCUGUGUAGAAGACCACAUGGGAAAGCUAGGCUGCUGGAAGUG